rnacentral:rRNA from 1 species
GACGAACGCUGGCGGCGUGCUUAACACAUGCAAGUCGAACGGAAAGGCCCUGCUUUUGUGGGGUGCUCGAGUGGCGAACGGGUGAGUAACACGUGAGUAACCUGCCCUUGACUUUGGGAUAACUUCAGGAAACUGGGGCUAAUACCGGAUAGGAGCUCCUGCUGCAUGGUGGGGGUUGGAAAGUUUCGGCGGUUGGGGAUGGACUCGCGGCUUAUCAGCUUGUUGGUGGGGUAGUGGCUUACCAAGGCUUUGACGGGUAGCCGGCCUGAGAGGGUGACCGGCCACAGUGGGACUGAGAUACGGCCCAGACUCCUACGGGAGGCAGCAGUGGGGAAUAUUGCACAAUGGGCGAAAGCCUGAUGCAGCAACGCCGCGUGCGGGAUGACGGCCUUCGGGUUGUAAACCGCUUUCGCCUGUGACGAAGCGUGAGUGACGGUAAUGGGUAAAGAAGCACCGGCUAACUACGUG